rnacentral:rRNA from 1 species
CCUACGGGUGGCAGCAGUGAGGAAUAUUGGUCAAUGGGCGCGAGCCUGAACCAGCCAAGUAGCGUGAAGGAUGACUGCCCUACGGGUUGUAAACCUCUUUUAUAAAGGAAUACAGUGAGGCACGUGUGCCUUUUUGUAUGUACUUGAUGAAUAAGGAUCGGCUAACUCCGUGCCAGCAGCCGCGGUAAUACGGAGGAUCCGAGCGUUAUACGGAUUUAUUGGGUUUCAAGGGUGCGUAGGUGGGCUGUUAAGUCAGUGGUGAAAGUUUGCGGCUCAACCUUAAAAUGGCAAUUGAUACUGGUAGUCGUGAGUGCAGGUGAGGUAGGCGGAAUUCGUGGUGUAGCGGUGAAAUGCUUAGAGAUCACGAAGAACUCCGAUUGCGAAGGCAGCUUACUAAACCGCCACUGACAUUGAUGCUCGAAAGUGUGGGUAUCAAACAGGAUUAGAUACCCUAGUAGUC